UUGGUCCACGUUGCAGGUACUGUGACACGAUCUACAGAAAUUCAGUGGAUUGGUCCACGUUGCAGCCCACUGGCUGGACAGGAGUCCGUUGUGAGAAAGAUGUCAACGAGUGCAUCAAGAAGAAUGGAGGAUGUAACCACGAGUGUAACAACACUAUGGGUAGCUACCAUUGCUCCUGUCACCGCGGUUACAUGCUGGUCGGACCCCAGAGGUGUAACGACGUGGAUGAGUGCCAGGAUCCAGGUAUGUGUGGGACAGCGAGGUGUGUGAACCAGGAUGGAGCCUAUGACUGUCUGUGUGAGACGGGAUAUGUUACGACAACAACACCAAGACC